rnacentral:lncRNA from 1 species
CCCAGCUUUGAAACGAGCCCUGCAGGUCCCGCUGGGCACUGCCCAGUUCCCCACUGCACUCUCUGCAGCGCCGGCAGACCUGCUCCUCCCGGGCUACACCGACAGGGACCUGCAUGAAAGGGCCUGCAGUGCGGAAGUGCAGCUUUUACUGGAAGCCCCUGAGAAGGACAGAUGGCCUCCUUGACUCCCCCAACAGGGACACAUGCUAUGGACUCACAGCAGGGACUGUGUCGGGACAGCUUUAUGCCCAGAGCAGGCACAUCUGGACUCCGCCCCGAAGAAGGGCUGGACUGGGCCGGGACUGGGCUGCGGGUGGGUCCGACCCUGACCUGCAGGAGGUGUCUGGUCUCUGGGAGCAGCACAGAGCUCAGGGGCCAGGCCCGAGGUGCAGGGCUGUGGCCUUCGGAGGAGCAGAUGCCACGCUCCGUGGUGUCCUGGUCCCCAUGGGAGGGGCUAGCGCGGUGGCCGCAGGGCCCAACUGUGUCCUGUGGGAAGCAGCCGAGGGACAGUGGUGCUCAGCUCCUCAGCCGUGGCCUCUGCCCAGUGCUCGCCCUGACCGGGACCUGGAGAGAGAUGCAGUUUUCAACACUGGAUUUGUGACUGGGGCUUCUGUCAUCCAUGUCCAGGGUGUCCCGGGCCUUUCCAUCCUGCUGCCCGUGAGUCUGAGCAGAAACCCCCUUGGGACCUCACCCCCCCACCAGGCCGGGCCUGACCCUUCUGGGCCAGAAGCUGCCGCACACCGGGCCCAGGCCAGGGACUCUGGCCCGAGUGUUGGGGAGCAAGGGGAGAGCAGUGUGCAGUUCCUCCGCUGUGCCCUGCCCUGCCUUUUUGGCCCUGCAGCAGCGCACCCCCUGCACCUCCCCGCAGGCUCUGUGCCGAGCGGCAGCUGCUGGGUUGGGGUCCAUGACACCUGCUGCCACCACCUGUGUGGGCGGGGAGGGGAGCCAGCUCUCUGCCCAGCCCAGCCAGGGAAGCCGCCCAGCUGUGGGGGCGGACUGAGCAGGCCCACCCCCGCCCCAGCAGGUGAGCAGCCAGAUGUCACUGUACACAGGCUCAGGCAAGCUGAGGUUCCUCCUUUAGUUCCUGCAGUCCAGUCCAUUCUACCUUGAGCCAGUGUUACCAGUGAUGCAAAAAUGCACAAUCAAUUCCAGAGAAACUCAGAUGAGACCAGAGUGAUAUGCUGGGAGGGGCAUGCCCGGAUCUCUGCCAAGAAGAAAUCCCAAGGGGCUGAGCCCUGAGAGCCAGCAGGGCCAGCCUCGGCCAGCAGGAGGUGCUGCUCCUUUCCGCCAAGCCCCAGGACUGGACCGGCCCAGGCCCUGUCCUGGCUGGGAGACGAGUUGAUGAUUUGUGCUGGACUCGGGGACCACAAGGCCUUGUCCUUGCACCAUGGAAACCCUCUCAGUCUCCUACUCCUGUGCCCCUCCUUGGCAGGCAGCAAAGGUGUCUGGGGAACCUUGCAGAGCCCCUUGCAGCCCGAGGAUGGAACAGACAGCCAAGGAGUGUGGUCACAGGGUCAGUAGGCACAGGGCCCUGGGUGAGGUCCCAGCAGGAUGCACAGAGCGAGAACCUGAAACCAGGAGGCUAAGCAUGGGGGGUUCAGCAGACACCACAGGCACGUCCGUGUCCCCGCGUCUGUGGGCUGCUAAGUAAGGUUGGCAGGCGGCCUACUGCUGUUUGUACCGCGGUCCCAUUCCUCUGAAAAUCUACGCGUAGUACUCGUGUGCCCUUUUGUAGAAAGAGCUGAGGCAUGCUAAGGACUCAGUCCCGACUGUUCACAGCAAUUUGUCUCCGGUAAUAGGAGGUUUUACUGUUUAAUGUUCGUCUUCUCAGCCUGUCAGUAUCCCCGAGUGCCUUUCCUGCUGUGGAUUUGAGUAAUGGAUCUGCAUUACUUACGCCACUAAACAGAUAGGAAGCUUUUAAAAGCUGGCUUUGUUCCCUGGCUGGUGCCUUCCUGGGCUCAUCCCUCAGCGAGGCUAGAUGGCCCGGGUGUCCCUGUCUUUGUGACAGGCAGGCAGCUUACCUCUCUCCAGACAGCAGAGCCCAAGAACAAGCCGCUCAGGGGCAGGGAAGUUGAAAACCAGACCCAGGACACCAGAGGUGCGGACAUGGCAGUGCGCUGUCACGCACAAGCUGGGAGGCACCAGGAGAGAAGGAAGCCCUGGACAAAGACGCUGGAUGAUUUAUGGUUUGUGUAUGCCUUUGGAAUAAAUUAAUUACCUUUUUAAGAAAGGCCUCCUUCCG